rnacentral:rRNA from 1 species
AGAGAGAGACAUGCGCGCAUAUCAAUAAGCGGAGGAAAAGAAACUAACAAGGAUUCCCCUAGUAACGGCGAGUGAAGCGGGAAGAGCUCAAAUUUGAAAUCUUAAAGGGUUUCCCUUUACGAAUUGUAGUUUAAAGAAGUGUUUUCUGUUGAGGCUUUGGUAAAAGUUCUUUGGAAUAGGACAUCAUAGAGGGUGAGAAUCCCGUAUUUGACCUUUACUUUCAACUUUGUGAUACACUUUCAAAGAGUCGGACUGUUUGGGAAUGCAGUCCAAAAUGGGUGGUAAAUUUCAUCUAAAGCUAAAUAUUGGCGAGAGACCGAUAGCGAACAAGUACCGUGAGGGAAAGAUGAAAAGAACUUUGAAAAGAGAGUUAAACAGUACGUGAAAUUGUCAAAAGGGAAGCGUUUGACACCAGUGUUGUUUUUCUGAAAAUCAAUUAAAGAACUGUUUAUGCUAAGUUGUUUAGACUUUAUCAGCUAACUGUUUAGUUUUGAGCUUUUCUUUAAUGCACUUUUCAGUUAACAAGUCAACAUCAAUUUCUUUUGCUGUAAAAAAGCUUGAGGAAGGUGGCUUGAGAUUCGUCUUAAGUGUUUAUAGCCUCUUGCCUAUGCAGUCGGAGAGACUGAGGUCUGCAGCGUAGAUCCUUCGGGGUUAGAUACAUUUGUGCUAAGUUAUAGCUUUUUAUAGACAACUUGUUGACUAUGAUUAGUCUUGUAGCUUACUCGCUUAUGCUAUUUUACCUACGCUUAGGAUGUUGAGCGCAUGUCUCUCUCU